rnacentral:rRNA from 1 species
UACAGAGGCCUCAAGCGUUGUUCGGAUUCAUUGGGCGUAAAGGGUGCGUAGGUGGCGCCGUAAGUCGGGUGUGAAAUUUCGAGGCUUAACCUCGAAACUGCAUUUGAUACUGCCUUGCUUGAGGACUGGAGAGGAGACUGGAAUUCACGGUGUAGCAGUGAAAUGCGUAGAGAUCGUGAGGAAGACCAGUGGCGAAGGCGGGUCUCUGGACAGUUCCUGACACUGAGGCACGAAGGCCAGGGGAGCAAACGGG